CGCACAUUGCGCCCACCAGUAUUCUGAUGGGCAUGCCUGUUCGAGCGUCAUUUCAAACCCUUAAGCCUCCUGCUUAGUGUUGGGGACCGCUACAAAAAGCGCCCUCUAAAGAAAUUGGCGGAGUUGUUUAGGGCUCUCAGCGUAGUAAUUCUCUCGCUUUAGAGACCUGGUAGCGCCUGCCACAAGCCUAUUUUCUCAAGGUUUGACCUCGGAUCAGGUAGGAAUACCCGCUGAACUUAA
rnacentral:misc_RNA from 1 species